rnacentral:lncRNA from 13 species
CUCAUGAAGGCAGUACGGUCUGACUGUAGAUGCUGUGGACUGUAGAUACCAGAACUAAGCUAAUUCUGCAAGUGGGUAUGGAGUUCCUGCCAUGUCCUCAACUUCCCCUGUAAGAACAUGAAGUCAAAAUGUGGCUCUCCCCUCUGAGAGUUUAUAACCCUGCUCUGAUGCCAGAACCCACACAUUAAAUUAUUCAGCAGCCAAAUAAGAAUUAAGUUUGAAAUGCAAAACAAAAAGAAAUGAAAACGUAGGGCUAUGGUUUUCUUAUCUGCUACAGAUACUGUAUUGUUAUCAAUCUAUUACCUUUAGGUUAAGCAUGGCCCCAAAUGAGCUUGUUGAAGUCUAGUUACUCUGCUGACAUCUAGCAGCCUCAGCUUUAGAGCUACCUCCAUGGUAACAUGCAGUGUGUCCUUGGCCAAGCCCCGUCACUGCUGAACCUCAACCUUCUUAGCUAUAAUUCAAUCUCCAAGCUUUCAUUAAGGGUGUAGAGUUUACAAUGUCCUUUGCCAUCUCACACACGGAGGCUUCAACUAGUGGGAACAGGUUAACCAGGUUCUUGUCUUGAAGAUGUGCCUGAUUCGUAGAUGGAAAGGGUUAAACCAGCAUGAGGCACAGAACGUAGAGAGGGUACAACUGUUGCUGUGGCUGUUGUUAGUCAUAACGUUCUGAGAAUUCCCGUGGAAGACCCCUGAGAGAUGCCAGAACAUGCCUGAGGUGCCGGUGGUCAUGAGGAUGAUUGUGCAAAUGUUUGGCAGGGGCAUCUUGUUUCGAAGAUUUCACGGUGCUAAAGAAGUUAAGGUGUAAAUCAAAAUCAAUUAUCUUCAGAUAAUUACCUCUGCCUCCAUCUUUCUCAUUCUCAUUCUCCUCUUUAUUCCCUCAGCCUUGAAGGCCUGUGGCUUGGAAUGAUGGCACAUGAGGUGGAAAGGAAGUUGACGUGUUCCUCAGACCACAACAAGAGGGGCGAGAUCAUGUGCUCUGAUCAAUCGAGAGACCGGAGGUCCUUAGUCCCUGACUCUUAUGCCAUACCUACCUUUCUCAACGUCAUUCCUUUGAGUUAUUUUUCCCAGAGAAGGACCCCAAAUCUUUCCUUGACAGACCCCAUCCAACUAUCAAUGGCAGUUAUCGUCGGUAAGAGUACAACUCUCGCUCUAAGGACCCUAUGGGAACUUCCCAGCUCUGGGACCUUGGAUAACAUCCUGGACCACACACCCUUCUAGCUCACCUGGCAAGGUUAGAAAGAGGCCAGAAAAUCCUAUGAAAGGCCUUCUGAGUCCUGAAGUCUCCACUGGGAGAGAAGAAAGAGAAAAAAACCUUCUCUGCCAAAGGCAACUGCCUACUCCUUUCCCAUGACCUUGCCCUGUUUGGCCUUCUGGAAGGCGGCAUCUCAAAAAGGACUGUCAUUCUACAGCCACAGGGAUGCCAAGAGCUCAAGAGGUAAGAGAACAUUUACUCAAAGGAGAAAACCACCUUCUGUUCAUUGCUCUACUUGCACCGAAAGCUCCAUUUACUGCUAGAGUGUCCUCAUUAGAUGUUUUAAGGCCUUUGUUUUGUCCUCGACAUCAUUGUGGAUGGAAGAGAAAUGUUGAAGAAAAGGUGGCCGGGCACGGUGGCUCAAGCCUGUAAUCCCAGCACUUUGGGAGGCCGAGGCGGGUGGAUCACGAGGUCAAGAGAUCCAGACCAUCCUGGUCAACAUGGUGAAACCCCGUCUCUACUAAAAAUACAAAAAAUUAGCUGGGCACGGUGGCGCAUGCCUGCAAUCCCAGCUACUCAGGAGGCUGAGGCAGGAGAAUUGCCUGAACCCAGGGGGCGGAGGUUGCGGUGAGCCGAGAUCGCGCCAUUGCACUCCAGCCUGGGUAACAAGAGCAAAACUCUGUCUCAAAAAAAAAAAAAAAAAGAAAAGGUAUGUAGACCAAAGUCCAACCCAGCCCCCUGUGGACAUUUGCUAGACAGAGUCGUUGUAUCCAGAAUGAG